rnacentral:rRNA from 1 species
GACGAACGCUGGCGGCGUGCUUAACACAUGCAAGUCGAACGGUGAACCCCUUCGGGGGGGAUCAGUGGCGAACGGGUGAGUAACACGUGAGCAACCUGCCCCUGACUCUGGGAUAACUCCGGGAAACCGGGGCUAAUACCGGAUAUGACACUUCCGGGCAUCCGGUGGUGUGGAAAGAUUUAUCGGUUGGGGAUGGGCUCGCGGCCUAUCAGCUUGUUGGUGGGGUGAUGGCCUACCAAGGCGACGACGGGAGCCGGCCUGAGAGGGCGACCGGCCACACUGGGACUGAGACACGGCCCAGACUCCUACGGGAGGCAGCAGUGGGGAAUAUUGCGCAAUGGCGAAAGCCUGACGCAGCGACGCCGCGUGAGGGAUGAAGGCC